CUGUGCAAAGGUAGCAUAAUCAUUAGUUUUUUAAUUGAAAGCUGGAAUGAAUGGUUUAAUAAGAAAAAUUCUGUCUCAUUUUUAAGUUUAAAAUUUUAUUUUUAAGUUAAAAAGCUUAAAUUUACUAAAAAGACGAGAAGACCCUUUAGAGUUUUAUAAGAAAAAAUUGGUUAUUAUUAUGAUUUAAAUUUAAAAUUGGUUUUUAUUAUUUUAUUGGGGUGAUAUAAAAAUUUAAGUAACUUUUUAUUUAUUUAAUCAUUAAUUUAUGUGUAAAUGAUCUUGAUUUUUUGGAUUAUAAGAAUAAUUACCUUAGGGAUAACAGCGUAAUUUUUUUUGAGAGUUCUUAUCGAAAAAGAAGUUUGCGACCUCGAUGUUGGAUUAAAAUUUAAUUUUGGCGUAGAAGUUAAAAAUUUAGGUCUGUUCGACCUUUAAAAUU
rnacentral:rRNA from 1 species